rnacentral:rRNA from 1 species
UGGGGAAUAUUGGACAAUGGAGGAAACUCUGAUCCAGCAAUUCUGUGUGUGUGAAGAAGGUUUUAGGACUGUAAAACACUUUUAGUAGGGAAGAAAAAAAUGACGGUACCUACAGAAGAAGCAACGGCUAAAUACGUGCCAGCAGCCGCGGUAAUACGUAUGUUGCGAGCGUUAUCCGGAAUUAUUGGGCUUAAAGGGCAUCUAGGCGGUAAGACAAGUUGAAGGUGAAAACCUGUGGCUCAACCAUAGGCUUGCCUACAAAACUGUUGAACUAGAGUACUGGAGAGGUGGGUGGAACUACACGAGUAGAUGUGAAAUUCGUAGAUAUGUGUAGGAAUGCCGAUGAUGAAGAUAACUCACUGGACAGAAACUGACGCUGAAGUGCGAAAGCUAGGGGAGCAAACAGG